rnacentral:lncRNA from 1 species
AGACUGUACCUUGGGCAUUGGGAGUAGGCUCCUCAAGUGUUGGAUCCAUAAUUACAUAUAGAAUUUGCUCGUGCUCUAGGAUGAUCUUAAGCUUUCGAUACCAGUUAUCAAAAUUAAGUUUCAUCAACUUUUCAUUAUCCAACAGUGAUCGGAGCGAUGAAUUUGAGGCCAUAUCUGCACGCACAAGAAAAAAAUCAAAACCUAAUUAGUAUAUAAAUUUAUUAAGUCUAAAGAUAUGGACUUUAGUCUAAAAGUUCUCUCAUUAUUUUAUAUGAAUCGAUAGCCUCUACCUCCAAUUCGAAGAAUUACUUUAAUUUCUUAGUGGGUAUUAGAAUCCACACAGACUGCAUAUAAGUCUGACUUUGGCCAGC